GACUCGGUGGCGGAUGGUUCCGCAUCUGCACAUGAUGGUAUGAUGGUCCCUUCCCCGAUUGCUUGAAUGCAGAAGUUGCCUGUUCGAUUCAGGCCCGAGUCC